ACGGACUGUGUCGUAUGUGUGUACACAACUAGUUUCAUAACCCAGAUCACAAGCAUCUGCUAAGGAUAUUUAUAUACCCAAAGGGUGUUGAUCAAACCUACGUGGUGGAUAACGUUUGGAGGUGAAUUUGCAGGUUUCAAUUUCCCAUUUAAGAAUCAAGAUCAUGAGAAUAUAUCUGAAGGUGGCAACGUGGUCUGCAGUGUGCAGUAUGUUCGUCAUGACAGUGAUAUGUACUGACCUUGACCUCACCGGAGAUCCUGUUUCCGUAGUAGAGAGUGGCUUGCUAACACUGUCCUGCAGUAAAACAACAGAUAAUAUCCCGCCGUUAACUGCAGUGAGGUGGUACAGAAACACAGAGGCGAUAUUUCAAACAGUUGGGGAAAGUACUACCAGAUGACUCA